rnacentral:lncRNA from 10 species
CGGGACUGGAGCUAAGCCGGUGUGAAUCGAGGCUGCAUGUGCCUGGGUGUAGUGGACCGUGCACACUUGGGGAAAUGCACGUGGUGCAAUGAGCCUCUCCAUUUUCAGAAUUGUGAGGGUGAGCGAGAGGGGCUGCCCGGCGUGUGCAGACUCUGCGCCGGCUCGUCUGUUUGGGGAGCUGUUGGUUAUCUUUAGGGAUGGGAAGACAUACAAGAAAGCAACCAGUUACUGGAUUAUAUGAGGAAGGCUGUGACAGAGGCCAUACCGGAUGCUGCAGGAACACAGAAAAAGAAGGAUCUACGCCCUUUGAUGAAUUCCCAGGAAGCCUUCCCAGAUGUGUCAGUGGGCUCUUGAAGGGUGCUCAUCUACUGGAAAGGCUUCAACUUUCACCUUUGCUGAUGACGUUCCAGUCCCAGUCUGCCCAAUCUGAAUUCUUCCUCAGCCUCUGCUUAGCUUCCUAUCCUCCGUUCCUUCUCCUAUGAUCUAGGCAGACAUUGAGGAUUAUGCCUGGCACAUUUUCUCAGAGGGCCAAGGCACAGCCUUAAUUUUCUACUCAACUGGGAGCUCUAGGCACCCAUUACCAUUCAGAGUUGGCAUUCGAGACAAAAACUAUUUUUUUCCUGAAUCUAGUCCUUUUAAUUUUAAGCACCUUAAGGAAUAUACCUUUUAAAGUGUCUUGAAGGAUUUCAUUCCCCCAUUCAUUCAGCAAACUGUAAAGAGCUUCCCAUGUGCUGCCUGUUGAAUGCAACAUCCUCCCUCUCAAACCCUCUCCUGCUCAACAGGUCCCCUGCUAUCAAUGAUACCAGCAAUAGCACUGAAAGAAUAAAUAUACACCAGAUAACACAGGUGAGUGGGCACAGCUCUCCAUGCCACCCUAGUUCCUCACAAAGGCAUGCCCAAUAUUUGGAGGUACUGACAGCCUUAGAGGAAGGAGAAAUCCACCAGGUCAGAAAAAUUCUGAGCUGUAGGCUUGCUGCCUUUCUUACCUACAUUUGAGGAAAGGCCAGGUUAGCAUCCAAGAGUCCACCCUAUCACCAUAUAAAGAAUUCCAUGCCAGACACAUAUACUUCUAUUUCCUAAUGCUGGUCCUGGGUCUACAGUGGUCUUAUUAUAAUCAGUAGACCAUUCUAGUUCAAGCCCUUAUCCCCUCCUAUAUGGAUAACUGUAACAGACUCUCCUCUCCAGUUCAUCCUAUAAAUGCCAUAGCCAAACUCUACCCCAAUUUUAACUCCUAGUAAUUACUGAUUUGUUCUAUAGGUUGGUGCAACAGUAAUUGCGGUUUUCACCAUUAAAAGUAAUGGCGAAAGUAAUGCUUAGCCUCCUAUUUGGCGAAACUGUAAUGGUGAAAACUGUAAUUACUGUUGCAUCAACCUAAUACAACACUGCAAUUUUGUUUUUUAAGAAUUUCAAAUAGGCCAGGCACGGUGGCUCACACCUGUAAUCCCAGCACUUUGGAAGGCCGAGGCGGGUGGAUCACCAGGUCAGGAGUUCAAGACCAGCCUGACCAACAUGGUGAAACCCCAUCUCUACUAAAAAUACAAAAAUAAGUUGGGUGUAGUGGCGUGCGCCUGUAGUCCCAGCUACUCAGGAGGCUGAGGCAGGAGAAUAGCUUGAACCUGGGAGGCGGAGGUUGCAGUGAACUAAGAUCGCACUGCACUCCAGCCUGAGCGACAGAGCAAGACUCCAUCUCAAAAAAAAAAAAAAA